AAUGCCCCUUGAGGCGUUGCAGUCCGGCAUUGUGCCGAGCCUGUGUCAUAAGGUGGCAAAGACUAAAAAGGCCUAGCCAUAUCCAAACCUAGAACAGGUGGAAUUUGGGAUGUAGGUUGGGUCUAAUAAU